AGGGGACUGGUGGAGGAGGGGUGGAAGAUUUCUCUUUUAAAUAUGCACUUGUGUAUUGCUUGAAUUCUGUUAAACAAACUAUUUCAUAACCCCUUCUACUGCACACAACCACUCCUUGGAUCAAGAACCACUCACCGAGAAGACCAAGACUGAGGCGUGAGCAGAGGACCCACUUGCCUGGAUGCGAUCAACUUGCUAAAAGCAGACGGGAAUAAGGAUCUCUACGGUGGGCAAUCUCUCACCUAAAAUACUACAAUCGACUUAAAGCCCUUCCGGAUUAAAAAAGACCAGAAGGAGUUAUGCUGAUGGGGAGAAAGCCACAUCACGAAAGAGUCUUUGACCCCACUCACAAGAAAGAUAUUUUUCAAGAUAUAUCCAUUAAUAUUUUAAAAAAGUCAUUCCUCAAACCUUAGCUGCACCCAACAUAACAAAUAAAAAG